AUUGAACGCUGGCGGAAUGCUUUACACAUGCAAGUCGAACGGGAGAGGGGGCAACCCCUCGAGAGUGGCGAACGGGUGAGUGAUAUAUCGGAACGUGCCCAGUCGUGGGGGAUAACGUAGCGAAAGUUACGCUAAUACCGCAUACGAUCUAAGGAUGAAAGCGGGGGAUCGCAAGACCUCGCGCGAUUGGAGCGGCCGAUAUCAGAUUAGGUAGUUGGUGGGGUAAAGGCUCACCAAGCCAACGAUCUGUAGCUGGUCUGAGAGGACGACCAGCCACACUGGAACUGAGACACGGUCCAGACUCCUACGGGAGGCAGCAGUGGGGAAUUUUGGACAAUGGGCGAAAGCCUGAUCCAGCCAUUCCGCGUGCAGGAUGAAGGCCCUCGGGUUGUAAACUGCUUUUGUACAGAACGAAAAGGUUUCUACUAAUACUAGGAGCUCAUGACGGUACUGUAAGAAUAAGCACCGGCUAACUACGUGCCAGCCGCCGCGGUAA
rnacentral:rRNA from 1 species